rnacentral:rRNA from 1 species
UGAGUACGAGACGCUAAGGCGUCGAAGUAGUGUAUGUCAUACUUCCAAGAAAAGCUUGCACUGUCAUAGAUAAAAAACGCCUGUACCAUAACCGACACAGGUGGGUAGGUAGAGUAUACUAAGGGGCGCGAGAUAACUCUCUCUAAGGAACUCGGCAAAAUAACUCCGUAACUUCGGGAGAAGGAGUGCCUUAUUCGUAAGGUUGCAAUAACAAGAUCCAAGCAACUGUUUAUCAAAAACACAGGUCUCCGCUAAGUCGUAAGACGAUGUAUGGGGGCUGACGCCUGCCCAGUGCCAGAAGGUUAAAGAAGUUGGUUAGCAAUUGCGAAGCUGAUAACUGAAGCCCUGGUGAACGGCGGCCGUAACGAUAACGGUCCUAAGGUAGCGAAAUUCCUUGUCGGGUAAGUUCCGACCCGCACGAAAGGCGUAAUGAUUUGGAUACUGUCUCGGAGAGGGGCUCGGUGAAAUAGACUUGUCUGUGAAGAUGCGGACUACCUGCACCAGGACAGAAAGACCCUAUGAAGCUUUACUGUAACUUGAAAUUGAAAUUGGACUUUAUUCGCGCAGUAUAGGUGGGAGGCGUUGAUUAUAAUCUUGUGGGAUUAUUGGAGCCAUCAGUGGGAUACCACUCUUGUAAUGUUAGAUUUCUAACUUUGAAUCAUUAUCUGGUCAAAGAACAGUUUCAGGCGGGCAGUUUGACUGGGGCGGUCGCCUCCUAAACGGUAACGGAGGCGUACAAAGGUUUCCUCUGAACGGUUAGAAAUCGUAUCUAGAGUGUAAAGGCAUAAGGAAGCUUGACUGUGAGACCUACAAGUCGAGCAGGGACGAAAGUCGGUCUUAGUGAUCUGACGGUACUGAGUGGAAAGGCCGUCACUCAACGGAUAAAAGUUACUCUAAGGAUAACAGGCUGAUCUCCCCCAAGAGUUCACAUCGACGGGGAGGUUUGGCACCUUGAUGUCGGCUCAUCGCAUCCUGGGGCGGUAGUACGUCCCAAGGGUUGGGCUGUUCGCCCAUGAAAGCGGUACGCGAGCUGGGUUCAGAACGUCGUGAGACAGUUCGGUCCAUAUCCGGUGUAGGCGUUAGAAUAUUGAGAGGAGCCUUCUUUAGUACGAGAGGACCGAGAAGGACAUACCUCUGGUGUACCAGUUAUCGUGCCAACGGUAAACGCUGGGUAGCUAUGUAUGGAGUGGAUAACCGCUGAAAGCAUCUAAGUGGGAAGCCCACCUCAAGAUAAGUAUUCUCAUC